AAAAAAACUUGAAAAAGUUGUUGUUGUUGUUGUUGUUGUUGUGGAAACGCUUACACACGUGACAUGAGCAGCAGAGUAUGUCUUUAUAUGAUAUGAGCAACAAAGCCAAUGAGACACUCCUUCCAGAAUCCCCAGCGAAGACCGGUGACUUGAAGUCAGCCAGGAUGUAAACUUGCACUCUGCUGACUGCAUGACACCCUGCAAGCCAGCUCAGUGAGUGUCCUCCGAAUCCACGACCGAGCCAGCAUCCUCUUACACCCAGGAACUCAGGAGUGGAUGUCAGCAAGUUACCACCCUCUGGAGGACAAAGGCCAGCCGAUCUCACUGGGCACUUGGCCAGUAGCGUCCUCUGUAACAAGACUAGGAGAAACAGUCGCUUCCGGUUUGGCCUCCCUAACCGGUGGGAGUGCCCAGGCCAAUGCAAUGCUCCCUCUGGAGUUCCCAGCAAAGAACGACGACUUCACAUAGCCAGGAUGCAAACCUCCACUCCACAAGGUCUAGGACUCACCCUGCAUCCCACACGGCCGUACUGUUACCAGGUGAACCACUCGGGGACCCACCACCUGCAUGUUUAACUGAAUACCAACUCGUAUCAUGGGGAUUUGUAUAAUUUACUCUUAGCCACCUGACCUGGUGUCCCACACUUUAACCCUCCUCUUGUUCUUGUUUAUAAAGACAAAUUAGUCAUGCACUGUACAAAGAAAUAGCCAAACGAUUUUUCCUUCCUGGAUUCUUUAGUUUACUCAAAGACCAGACGACAGCCACCCUGGGCUCUAUUUUGCUACCAGUAAAGCAGCUAAGCAUCCUGACGUUAUAAAAGUGUAAACAAAGCCUUUUAAAAUGCCUCUUCACAAAACAGUGGGCACGCUAUUUUUAGCAAGACUAAUCAUGGCUUUGUUAAUUGGGGGGCUGCAAAGCUACUGGGAUCAUUUCAGAGACAUCAGGAAAGCUGACAAUUCUGCAAUUAGAUUUUGAGAAGAAAUAUUCAAAAGGUGACUACACGCAGUAACUAUAUAGACUACACGCAGUAACUAUAUAGUUACUUUGCAGCCAGCCUGUCAAAUAGUUUAAGACUGCAUGAGCCACAACUGAUUUCUUUUGUUACAAUAUGAAAAAAAAAAAAAACCUGUCAGUUUUGAUUUUGUAUAUACCCUUUCUGUCCUGCACAGCGUUGUAUCACUUUAUCUUAAUAGUCUGUUUAUCCUGGUUCAUUCACCCAAAAGGAAAGUUAAAAUCACAAUGAAAUGAGCAGAAGGAAUGGAGAGUAAUCGGUAAAGGAGGGGAAGAAGACACCUUGUCAAUGUCUUUAUACAGCAUCCCCUCAGAAAAUCCAAUGUCCAACCCCAGGUGGCCUUCAUAUAUAGAUUGCAUGUAAAAAAAAAAGUUCUCUAAACUGCACACAGAGAUCUUCCAAUAUUUUAUUCAGACCUAUUAAAAAUGAUGGUACUGUAGUAGUGUAUCCCAGAUAAACACCACUGUGGUUUUGUAUGUAGUGCUGUCACAGUUUGUAAUAUUAGCACAUUACAAUCCCUUUUGAUAAUUUACAAUAUUAAUGUAGCUAUAAAGUAAUUGCUACUGACACCCUGUAUUGCCACUGCCCAUGCUGCACCUGCACUGUAAAGAAAUAAGUCAAUCACUCAUAAGCACUAAAACUGAAGAAAAUAACAAAAAAACCAAACAAACAAGGAGUAUAACACAACGCAUGUUGCUAUAUGGUCAUUCUAUGAAAAUGUACGUUACACUGGAUGAGUCACUAUUUGACUACUGGCAAUCCUAAGACUUUUUGAUGAGACUUCAGUGUAUUUAGUGCUGGAGGGCUAUAAAGAUCUCCUGCCACGAGGAGAAAACAUGAGAAAGCUCUCCAGCUUUCAAAACACCUGUCUGUGGAGGAGCUGCCGGAUUUUCUGGUCAAGAAGAUCCCCAAUGAGGAGAUCCUUCGAAUGAAGGCUAUCACCGCGGAGAUCUGACAGUGGAGGUGCAGAUGGCUCAGACAUGUCCUAAGGAAGCCUCCUGACACCAUCCCAAGAGUUUCCCCCAGGUGGACACCGGCCAGCAGGAGAAAAUGAGGGAGGCCCAAGGAGACCUGCAGAAGGACAUUGGUGUCUGAACUGACCAGCAGAGGACUCACCUGGGCAGAAGCCCAUACAGUGCUGUGGACAGGUUGAGGUGGUAAUCGUUUACGGAUGUCCAGCAUUGGACGAAGGGGAUUAAGCAAGUAAGUAAGUCAGUGUAUUCAGACAGAACAAUCCCUCAAUGCGUGUGCUGUACAUUAAAA